rnacentral:rRNA from 1 species
AUUGAACGCUGGCGGCAGGCCUAACACAUGCAAGUCGAGCGGAUGAUGGGAGCUUGCUCCUUGAUUCAGCGGCGGACGGGUGAGUAAUGCCUAGGCAUCUGCCUGGUAGUGGGGGACAACGUUUCGAAAGGAACGCUAAUACCGCUUACGUCCCACGGGAGAAAGGAGGGGACCUUCGGGCCUUGCGCUAUCAGAUGAGCCGGGGUCGGAUUAGCUUGGUGGUGAGGGAAUGGCUCACCAAGGGGACGAUCCGUAACCGGUCGGAGAGGAUGAUCAGUCACGCUGGAACUGAGACACGGUCCAGACUCCUACGGGAGGCAGCAGUGGGGAAUAUUGGACAAUGGGCGAAAGCCUGAUCCAGCCAUGCCGCGUGUGUGAAGAAGGUCUUCGGAUUGUAAAGCACUUUAAGUUGGGAGGAAGGGUUGUAGAUUAAUACUCUGCAAUUUUGACGUUACCGACAGAAUAAGCACCGGCUAACUCUGUGCCAGCAGCCGCCGUAACAC